AAGUUAGCGGCGGACGGGUGAGUAACACGUGGGUAACCUGCCCAUAAGACUGGGAUAACUCCGGGAAACCGGGGCUAAUACCGGAUAACAUUUUGAACUGCAUGGUUCGAAAUUGAAAGGCGGCUUCGGCUGUCACUUAUGGAUGGACCCGCGUCGCAUUAGCUAGUUGGUGAGGUAACGGCUCACCAAGGCAACGAUGCGUAGCCGACCUGAGAGGGUGAUCGGCCACACUGGGACUGAGACACGGCCCAGACUCCUACGGGAGGCAGCAGUAGGGAAUCUUCCGCAAUGGACGAAAGUCUGACGGAGCAACGCCGCGUGAGUGAUGAAGGCUUUCGGGUCGUAAAACUCUGUUGUUAGGGAAGAACAAGUGCUAGUUGAAUAAGCUGGCACCUUGACGGUACCUAACCAGAAAGCCACGGCUAACUACGUGCCAGCAGCCGCGGUAAUACGUAGGUGGAAGCGUUAUCCGGAAUUAUUGGGCGUAAAGCCGCGCGCAGGUGGUUUCUUAAGUCUGUGUGAAAGCCCACGGCUCAACCGUGGAGGGUCAUUGGAAACUGGGAGACUGAGUGCAGAAGAGAAAGUGGAUU
rnacentral:rRNA from 1 species